rnacentral:rRNA from 1 species
GACGAACGCUGGCUGCGUACUUAACACAUGCAAGUCGAACGCUGAAACCCUGGUGCUUGCACCGGGGUGGAUGAGUGGCGAACGUGUGAGUAACACGUGAGUAACCUGCCCCCGACUUCGGGAUAAGCCCGGGAAACUGGGUCUAAUACCGGAUAUGAGCGCCCCUCGCAUGAGGGAUGCUGGAAAGUCUUUUCGGUUGGGGAUGGGCUCGCGGCCUAUCAGUUUGUUGGUGAGGUAAUGGCUCACCAAGACGACGACGGGUAGCCGGCCUGCGAGGGCGACCGGCCACACUGGGACUGAGACCGGGCCCAGACUCGUACGGGAGGCAGCAGUGGGGAAUAUUGCACAAUGGGGGAAACCCUGAUGCAGCGACGCAGCGUGCGGGAUGACGGCCUUCGGGUUGUAAACCGCUUUCAGCAGGGAAGAAGCCCCUUGGGGUGACGGUACCUGCAGAAGAAGUACCGGCUAACUACGUGCCAGCCGCCGCGGUAA